GAACUCCAGAACCAUCGGCUCUGACUGAAAGUGAAGCGGCAGCCGCGUUGUGGGAAAGCUGGCUGGAGUCUCUCUCAUAAGCAGGCAUUCUUUUUCUCCAGCCCGUCACUGUGUUGGUUUGGGCCCACGUUUGUGGCACAUUCUAGGCACUCGCCAUCAUGAAAUAAACCUCUGGAGCUGUGAUAUUACAAACGUGAAAAGAUGACGAGCACUCAGCAACUUUCAAUGAAGCGAAGAGACAAGGAGCAAUCCAAUGUGUAAUAAAAAAAGGCAGCCUGAAUUGUUGUUGCUGUUUUUGAAAUUUAAGCUGGUUUUCAAUUAAAUUCAGUAAAUGGUCCAGGACU
ensembl:lncRNA LINC02626 long intergenic non-protein coding RNA 2626